UAGUCUAUAAUACUACUAAAAAGUAAACACACAACACAUAUUUUCACUUAUUGCAAAAACUUUUGUUUAUCACUUUUUAUUUUCUCUCCUCACUUUUUUCGCUCAAAAUCGGUGCAGAAAUAGCAAAGUUAUCGAUCGCAUAAAGCGGUUAUUUAAAUUGCAAAAUGACAGCUCUAGGGGAGGGUAUCUUAAUUUAGGGGUUUGAAAUGACUGCUUGUCUUCCUGUGGCUUAUUUCGUAUCUGAAUAUUGCGAGAAAAGUUUGUUCAAAUCAACCUUACACCCAAAGUGUAAAAAAUGUGGCGGGAUCUACAAUAUUCUGACAAUUUGAUAAGUGUGUGGAGUGGGAGGAUUAUUACAUAAUGUACAGUAGCGGAUCUAGUGGGUGGGUUUUAUUUGAACGCUAUCAACGAAAAAUUACCAGCAUUUGCUCUUUUGCGGUCUUCAAUUCACCUCCCUUUUUGAAAGAAUUUUCUGGAUCCGCCACUGAUUCGUGUUCAUUUACACCACUAAAAAUCUACAAGAGUUGUCUUUCUUUAAGAAGCAGAAGACACUUGCUGUGAAAACGGAAAUGGAUGCGGAAUUCUGAAGAAAAGCUUAUUGUAGGGAUCUUUGCAGGUACUUAGCAAAACUGACUGUCGGAUACAGUGCUAUUAGGAUGUUGUCCACUAAGCAAAUGGUGGAGAUCGUAGCACUACCCUGCACACAGACAUGGAAUGGAUCUGCUUAGUCCAUUAUCAGAAGAGUGACUGGGACUGUUCGUCCCAUCAGAGAAGUUUCUUGAGAAGCAUUACAAGGGACUUGUAUGAAUGGGCAGAAGAAAUUUUCUUAAUUGACCACCUCAUCAUUACCUGCUGUUGGAGACUGAACACUUUAUUGAAAAUUGCUGGGGUGUAGCAAUCAGUGGGUGUCCUCAUUUGCCCUGAGAAGGGUCAGAGA